UGCACACUCACAGAAAUAUUUACCCUAACUUUUAAGAUUGAUGUAAUUUUAUUACAUGACGAAUUCCCAUUUACUUUUUUUUUUAGAUAAU